rnacentral:pre_miRNA from 1 species
GAUAGACGGGGACGAGCCAGAGCAUGAGAUGUGCAAUUUUUGCUUUGCCUAUUCCAUGCACUGCCUCUUCCCUGGCUCUCCU